UUAUUCGCUAUAAGAUGAGUUUAUGUAGGAUUAGGUAGUUGGUAAGGUAAAUGCUUACCAAGCCGAAGAUCCUUAAUUGAUCUGCGAGGAUGUUCAAUCACAUUAAAACUGAGACAAGGUUUAGAC
rnacentral:rRNA from 1 species